AUUGAACGCUGGCGGCAGGCCUAACACAUGCAAGUCGAACGAGUGGCGGACGGGUGAGUAAUGUCUGGGAAACUGCCUGAUGGAGGGGGAUAACUCCUGGAAACGGUAGCUAAUACCGCAUACCAUCAGAUGGGCCCAGAUGGGAUUAGCUCGUAGGUGGGGUAACGGCUCACCUAGGCGACGAUCCCUAGCGGGUCUGAGAGGAUGACCAGCCACACUGGACCUGAGACACGGUCCAGACUCCUACGGGCGGCAGCAGUGGGGAAUAUUGCACAAUGGGCGCAAGCCUGCUGCAGCCAUGCCGCGUGUGUGAAGAAGGCCUUCGGGUUGUAAAGUACUUUCAGCGGGGAGGCGUUACCCGCAGAAGAAGCACCGGCUAACUCCGUGCCAGCAGCCGAGGUAAUUC
rnacentral:rRNA from 1 species